AAACAGUGAUGCCACUAUGUAAGGCACUGGUCAUGCAUCAGAAAUUGUAUCUGUAAAUGUAAUAUUCUGGUCAAAUACACUCAAGUGAGAUGAAUCACAAGCCAACAGGAGCAGGAAAGUACAGUGGACAGGAGCAAGUGAGGGUGUUUACAAAAAGAAACUAGUCGAGUAUGACUCUUGUAGUCUACCAAAAGAAGGAUCAGCAAGUGUAUGAGUACUGACAUCAAACACAAGAGAAGGUAUGCAAGAUAGAAGCUCAGCACCGAAGAAGGGAACAUUAGUAAUACAGGUGAAAGAACAGACAGACUAGCUAGGGACACUCUUGAGCUAGAAAUUUGUAACCAUCAGAGGGGUGAGGCUCUGGAAGAGGUCAUGGUAUAAGAGACAAACUGAUUUGGAGACCACGUGUACUUUGGGCUGCUUGCAGUAGCAGGGGCUGAACUCGAUCUAGGAGCCCUCCUAUGUUAAGGAGGAAUGGGGGGUGUCAUAGGUGGAUGCGGGAACAUAAUCUCCAUACGAACUGUUCUUCACUGCCCUCUGCUGUGGGUAUACGUAUGUAUAUUGAUGUCAGUAUCAUUUGAACACCGUCUGACUGAUUCUUGGAUCUGAUAGAUUUGGAAGUAAUUGACAAUCCUUUCACCCCAGGCAUGUCACCUAGCAGAAUAUGACCUGGAGGAUGCUGCCCUCUGAGGAUGUUCCAAAAGAGCUGGAAGAAGGCAAUGCGUUGGUUGCAGGAAGAACCACACAUGACCUUCUAGUAAACCACAGAAAUGAUCCAUUGGCUAGAGCAAAAGGCUGGGAGUCAAGGCCACCAGGUUUUAUUCAGGAAACCAUCCCUUUGCUGAAGCAGGUGGGGCCUUUUUCUUCUCUCCAAAAGCUGCAAAUGCUGCAGUGCCAGUUCUGAUUUGUUCUGGAUCUUAACACUUGUAUCAUGGAGAAGAUUUCUUCAAAUUCCCCAAGUCUGAGUGGCAAGGCUCUGGAACAUGCUGCCCAGAAAGGUGGUGGUUGUCCUAUCCUUGGAGACAUUCAAGGUCAGGCUGGAUGGGGCUCUGAGCACCUGAUGGAGCUGUAGGUGUUCCUGUUCAUCACAGGGGAGUUGAAUCAGAUGAGCUUUCAAGGUCCCUUAUAACACAAACGAUUGUAUGACAAUUAUAUGUGGUAUAGCACAUAACAGUGGUUGUCUUCAUCUCUGUUCUUUAUCAGUGAGUAAAUAAAAGGGAAGUCAGAUGCCAGGUCUAACAUUUCUGCUUCCACUCUGUGUUGCUCUUUUCUCAGCAUCUCCAGUUUGAAGUGUUAAGAAUGCAAUAUCUGCAACAAAUUAAUUAGUAAAAUCGUCAAAUGAAGUUAAGAAACUUAAAUUAUUAAUUCUUGAUCUGAAGAUCACAGGGACAGUACCUGUAUUUUCUGCCAUUUCAUCUUUAUACUGCAAGAGGAAAAAAGCAAGAUAGACAUGCUGAAUGGUGAUGAGACGAAGUGUUGAAGUAUUUCUAUUUGGAGACAUGAAUUCAAACAUAUGGAAGGAACUGAGACCCUCUGACCUACACAAAGCCUCCAGACAGUCAAAAGCAUUCCCUUGGUUGCGUGCUGCAAGUGUCUUGUAAAAAUAAGGCUGCACUUAGAGCUGCUGAGCACCACAAACUUCUGAACAUUAAGCUCAGUGGAAAUUAAGACAAAACAUCCCACAUCUCUGUGCUAAAAAGGAGAUGAGCUGCCAAACAGAUUCUGUUGCCAGCUGCUGCCUACUUUGCUCCUUUUAGGAUCUGUCACCUGCUUUGAAAUUCUUGGUGACUAAUGUAGGCCAUCCCCAAUCCUCAGGCAGAAGUCACUGCUACUCAAUUAAUAUUAAAUACUUUUGGCUUAUUAACAUAAUAAUUCUGUUUUUGCCUAAUUGCAAUCUUUAAGGGAUUAUAUAUAGUUUUUUCCUCUCUGUUUGGAAGUCCUAAGAGCUCUGAAGUUAUUGAUCAAAUCUUCCCCACAAAUCCUAAUGGAACCACAAGAGCAUGUGAUAUAGCUCUGAUCAGUCUCUGUGUUGCUAGUGAAUGCACUUCAAGCAAAUGAGAUUUGUUUCAGCUCCAUGUUGCUCAUACAGAUGCUUUGAAGACAUAUGAAAUGAGUACUCCAGAUAAUUUUGGCACUAUUAGAGAUAAGAGUCUUAUCAGGACCUGAGGUACCAACCUAAUUUUUUUUUCAUGAAAGCUGCCAGAGUAAACCCAUGACUCUUCUGAAUCAGCACAUCACGUUUGUUGUGCUCUGCAGAAAGGAGAGAACAGCAAAAGAUAAUGGACCGUGAUAGCACUACAGCUCUGGGAAAUGGGGCAAUGGAAAUAGCAGCAAAUGGUGAUCAAAAUGUCUGUGUUAAAGCUCAGCCCUGGAACAGACUGGAUACAUCUCCUGUUCAGCUUCUUCCUCUGAAAAAUAAGACACUGUUUACUUCAGGCAUUUCUCAUUAAGCUCAGAAAAACAGUACAUUUUUUCUGAUUCUGGAAGGGUAAGAUUGGAAAUGGUGGCCUGAUAUCUGUUAGCAAAUAAAGAAAAGAGGAAACGGACAGUUUUGCAGAUAGUCCUUCUAAGUCUCUGCAAGAGUACUGCUGGAGUAGCAGAUGCUCAAAGGGAGCCUUUACAUACGUGUUACCCAUUUAACAGUGAUAAGAUGAAGCCCUCUGCAGACCGAGUAUGGGAGAUACAAGGAAUAAAGCUUGCCUACAGGUGGUUGACAAAUAAACCAAGUCUUUUAUGCCUAAAGACUGGAUAUUGACAUUUGGCAAACACAAAUCCUAGUGUGGUGGCAAUUCACAAUCCUCUUGAGGCUUUCCAAGGUCUCAGCACACGUGCUAAGAGCUUGCAUUGCCUAUGAACGUUUUCAUCAACCAUCAAUGGCUCAAGUCUUUAUAUUUCACACUACUAUAUCUCUAGGUUGCUAUGCAGCCAAAAAUCCUUGAUGAUUAGCAGAUAUUUGGACAUUCUGGUAAUGAAACCAUGUUAGUUGCCAGAGAAAGUGUCAGUAAUUGAUUGGUGUGAUGCACUAUGGAUUGGAUGAUAGUUUAUUCUUAGGAAAAAGGUUUUCAUCCAUUUUUUUCCCCAGUGUUUUACAUUUGUUCUCAAAACAUGGAAAUCCUAAGGACAAUUUUAGAAAUAAAAAAUUCAUGGCAUGAGGCCAUUUGAUGCUGCCAUUAAGGCACUUCACUGCUGUAUUCCUGGGCUGUCAAGGGAGGAUGGGUGUUGUGUAAAUUAGCAGCAAUCUGCACAUUGCACAGCUGCACAGAAGGACCAAGAGUGAGCUUAACUGAGGGGCAAAAGGGUAGAGCUGGCCAGCAAGAACUGCCUUAUGUAACAGAAAUUAUAAAAAGCCAUUCAGUGUACAAUCGAAAGUGAGAGAAACCUCUGGAUAUGAUGCGUUUAAAAUUCUGGGCUAUUUUGAUACUGGAUCCAAGUCACUCGGAGAGCCCAGUGGUGAUGAAUACACCUCACAACAUGCCUGUUAUUUGCUUUCUGUGUUUACUCCUUCUUUUAGAAGGGUAUCACUCUUUGCUUUUCUGGUCAACAUCAUUUUGGCUGUGUGUUGAUAUACAAUCUCAGACUGCCUGUGAAGAUAGCUUUUCAGCAAUCCCUGCAUUGUGCAAGAAUAGAUUAAGAAAAGUGAAGGGCGAGGUUAAUCAUACUGCUGUGGUUGUGCAGGUGUGCUCAGCACUUUCCUCAAACUUCUGUUGUUAAAGGGUUCCAAGGCAUGUGGUUAAAAAAUGGGCUGCUAACUCUGUAUUCAAACACCUAUAUGUUAAUGGCCUGGCCUGUGAGAAGCAAGGAACAUCCACAUAAAGCCCCAAUGCUCCUCCACACACAUUUGGAGCAUUAUUAUAAAAGGACUCCAAUAUUAAUCCCAUAAACUCCAGAUGGAAGGCUUUAGUAAUGCUAGAAGACUAAGCUCAGUGACUUCUUUGUGAGCUACAUGUACUUAUCAUAGGUGAGCUAGUACGUGGGCCAAGAAGACGUCAGUGAAUGAUUCAUACUUUGAAUCAUUGGAUGGAGAAUGUAGCUGAAAUUAUUCCAAUUUCUUGCUCUGUGUCUCCUUGCAGUAAAGUCUGGUUGAUUAUUGCUUGUUGGUUCUCCUUACUGUCAUUAUUAUUCUCUCUAAACUUCUGCAGCAGCUGCAGUGUUCAUUCUUUCUCUGGAUGUCUAAAGGAGGGGAGAUCAGAGAAUACCAGUAGGUAAAUAACUGUUUUAUUUUGUCAUGUUUUGAUUUGUUUUCUGUCAGUGCUGGAGCAUCUCCUUGAGGAAUGAACAGCUCUGAGCCAUAUCUUGUCCUGGUUCAGGGACGCUGGGUGCUCAGAGCACUGGCUCUUCUGUGGCACAGUGCGUGAAGGGUGAACUGUAUCAAAAAAAGGGCACAAGGAAAAACACAUGCAUCUAAGUUUUUAUCAUUUAUUGGAAACAAGUGUAAACCCCGCUAGCGGCGCUGGGGG
rnacentral:lncRNA from 1 species